UCUUUCGUAGUAUAGUGGUCAGUAUGCGAGCUUGUCAUCUCGACAAAAACGCUCGAGACCCGGGUUCAAUUCCCGGCGAGAGAG
rnacentral:tRNA from 2 species